AAGCCAGGUUUUACUUCCCUGUUACAACUUCUUUCUCUUUCAUGAGCUUUCCCCAGCUUCAUGGAGAAGAAGCAUGGUGUUGAAGCAAGAAAAGCUGGGCAAGGAGCCUGUGCAAAAUCAAGGCUGUACCACUUCUCAAAGGAACCCAUAAAUGAUUUAGGCCACUGUUCACGAAUGAAAAUGCCUGUGGGGUCCAUGACGUACUGUACAUAUUCCCAUCACUCCAUUUACCGCCCUGCUUGUAUCUGCUGACUUCACUGAACUAUGAGCACCUAGAUGGUAAAACAUAUUCACAUGAAAUUAAGAGAUGGAGUAUUUCAUUGAGAUUAAAAGAAAGCCAUUAAAAGGAAUGAUAAAUUGUGAAAACCGGGUGUGACUGCCUAGCCAGACAUGUACUUCCAAGAUCAGAGACUACGUGCUUCAGUUCAUAAACACAGAGGAAAACCGGCUGGCCUAAUUUAAUGGUGCCCUGGGUGAAGUUUUCAGGGCUUUGCAGGAAAUCUCAGAGGCUCAUUGAUACAAAGAAGUCAGCAAGAAUCAUGACCGAUACUGAGUUUAAUGUGAGAGUUAGGGCACAAAAUGAAAACCAAAAUGGAGGUUUUCGGUUCAAAGAAGAAUUACGAAGAUAUAAAGAAAAUUCUCAUAAUUUAAAGAUUACUAUAAAACAUAAACGGUAAGAUAUUUGGUGGUGAGUCCUUCUGUAUAUACCUUAUGGUUGCUUUAGAGCAACAGAUGAUAUGUUUAUAAAGAUAACUUGAAGACGGCUGAGGUGAUUGCUGAGUGUUUAUACCUCUCGUCAUUUAUCAAUCAAAAGAAUCCCAGGGGCUCUAAAAUGAAUUUCAGGAUUAUAGAGGUUAAAAAAAAUUAGACUUAUCAUCAUAUCUAUAACGCCAGUUCUAAUAAUGGACAGACUUCUAUUAUUUGUAUUCCAGGUAAUAAAAUAUAUUUUCUAUUAGGGGUUAUUAUGUAGUAGGAUAAAAGAAAGAGUUUAAAUCCUCAAAGAAGAGAUUCUAGUCAUUCUUGUAACUGAAUAAAUUCCACCGCAGAUGGCUUAUGUCAAAUCAAAGAAAAAAAAUACUCCAAGGAUGGUCUGGUCCAAGGGACUAAACAUUGUAAUUUCCUUAA